AACACAUGCAAAGUCGAUGAUGGGGAGCUAAGCUUGCUAGAAGAAAGUCAUGGCGGACGGGUGAGUAACGUGUAAAGAACUUACCAUAUAGACUGGGAUAACAGAGGGAAACUUCUGAUAAUACUGGAUAAGUUAGAAGUAGCAUUACUAAGUAAUGAAAAGGUAGAAAUACGCUAUAUGAGAGCUUUUGCAUCCUAUUAGCUAGUUGGUGGGGUAAAAGCCCCUACCCAAGGCGAUGAUAGGUAGCCGGCCUGAGAGGGUGGACGGCCACAAGGGGACUGAGAUACGGCCCUUACUCCUACGGGGAGGCAGCAGUGGGGAAUAUUGGACAAUGGAGGCAACUCUGAUCCAGCAAUUCUGUGUGUGUGAAGAAGGUUUUAGGACUGUAAAACACUUUUAGUAGGGGAAGAAAGAAAUGACGGUACCUACAGAAGAAGCGACGGCUAAAUACGUGCCAGCAGUCGCGGUAAU
rnacentral:rRNA from 1 species